UGAUAAUUAGUUUAAACUAAAAUAAAUGAUUUCGACUCAUUAGACUACAGGUAACUCUGUAAUUAUCAA
rnacentral:tRNA from 1 species